rnacentral:misc_RNA from 1 species
AAGUCGUAACAAGGUAUCCGUAGGUGAACCUGCGGAUGGAUCAUUCAAAGGUGAAAAUGGCCCUUGGGCUGUUUUUGUUUUGUGCAAUGUAACGUGUGAGUGUGUGCCUCUAUUUGUGAGGCAUACGCAUCAUUUUUUUACCCAUUCAAUCUUACCGAACUUAUUAAACAAAGAACCUUGAAAACUGCCAGCAAUGGAUCCCUCGGUUCUC